rnacentral:rRNA from 1 species
UACGUGAGGGACUAGCGUUGUUCGGAAUUACUGGGCGUAAAGCGCACGUAGGCGGAUUUGUAAGUCAGGGGUGAAAUCCCGGGGCUCAACCUCGGAACUGCCUUUGAUACUGCAAAUCUCGAGUCCGGAAGAGGUGAGUGGAAUUCCUAGUGUAGCGGUGAAAUGCGCAGAUAUCAGGAGGAACACCAAUGGCGAAGGCAGCACUCUGGGACGUGACUGACGCUGAGACGCGAAAGCGUGGGGAGCAAACAGG